UCGGUUCUGGAAUGCAACCCGCCUGCCAUGCCUAGUCCCUCGCCACAUGCUGCCGCUUCGCCGUCAGGGUUGCCGCCGUCGUGGACGCCGAUCUGAGUAGUGGAGGAGGCCUCCAUAACCGCCGCGGAAGAGCUCGAUGGCGGCUGCAGCCUCCAACUCCGGGCUGCCGUGCGGAGUUCGUCGACCCGAUUUGCACCGCCGAGAUCCAUCUUCGCUCCUGCUGCCCCACGCCAUGCCAAAUCCGGCGGUGCCGUGGAGCUUCUCAUCCAUCCACUCGUCCUAACGCCUGGGAGGAGAGAGGCGUCGAGCUCGUCGCUCGAUUCGUACGGUCGCUGCCUAGCUCGUCGCCUCCACGCCUGUUGCCAAGCUUGCCGUCCCGUCCGGCGACAGAAAAGGGACGGUGACGAAAAGGAGGGGACGACCGGAGGAAGAUAGAGGUUGGUCGGAGGAGGAAGAGAGGCGCGGUGGCCGGUGGAGGGGCGACGCCGUAUGCUGUGGAGGAGAUGGCGUGGAGCGCGAUGUGACGAUGGAGAAGUCUUCUCUGGCGUGAUUUGGGGAUAGGGAUAAUAAUAGGCUGACUGGGUGGGUCCAAGGAUUUAUUUGUAAGUUAUUUUAUGUCUUAAGAGACUUUAUUGUAAAUCGUAAAAUGACAAAAAUAUAUGGACUGAACUUAAAAAGGGGAGGGG
rnacentral:sRNA from 1 species